ACACAGAGAGGGAGCGCGUAAAGGGCCAAAGAGAUCAUGAGGACUGAAGGCUAACAGGACAGAUAAAAUGAUAUAUUUUAGGAAUAUUAAUCUUGUGCUGGCUUUUAUUUGAGGACAGGGACUAUUCGAGUCUAAAGGAGCUAAAUGAAUGACAACCCUACAAAACGGCAGCACAGGCAACUCUGCUGAUGACGUUGAAUAAAUGCUCAGGCUUCGUUAAUACAAAUGUGCUGAGCUGUGAUUCAGAGUGCAAUAAAAACCAAACUGCCUCUCUUUAUUCGUUUGCUAACAUGUUAACCUAUUCUUUGUUCAUUAUCAGGUCUGCUCUUACGAGAUGUUCCUCGUUACUUGUGUCGUGUGUGAUGGGGUCGGUUGCUAUCUUUGGUUAUCUAGCUGUAUGAGUGUUUCUCCUCCGUCAUAAAGCUAGAUAACCGAAAGUAGGAGCGGUCUCCUGUACUGCGCACUGCUCCGGCACUACAGCAUGAGCAGGAAAAAUACUGACCACUGCGUGGAGAUCUAUCAUAGGGAAGCUCCUUCCUGACCGCAGUGUUUGCUUGAGAGACCGGACCACCAUGCGCUAGAACACCAUGUGCCUCCUCCCUCCAUCAACGGAAGCAUUCGGUGCCAUGUGUGCCCCCCGGAGCAGAGGGCGGGAGAAGAGAAAAAUGAUGUGCAAGAGGCUACAGUUCGUGUGCCAGUGGAGACAAAGAGGCUGCCAGUCGCCACGAUCCCCACAGAUGCUGAAGAUUGGAGCUCUGAAUGAGGGGCUGUGCUUUGAGGAAGCCAUCUUGAUGGAAAUGCUGGCUGCCUGCUUCCUAAAAUGGCUGUGUUGGCAUGAGGGACUAUGCUGAGGACAAGAUUGAGCCGAAUGGAGAGUAUAUCCUAUUCCAAAGUCCCUGGCCAUUCUCAUAUAGAUCAGCUACUCUGGUCCCUGAUAUAUAAUGACUGCUUCUGGCUAUCUCAUAGCGGACAAUCAAAACAAGUAAAGCAUAUCAUAUUAGAAAACUCAUAUAAAACCUGUUUUGCUUCUUGAAUAAACAUGUCAAUCUGUAUAAAACUGAACAAUGUGUAUUUUCUAAGCUGCAAAGGGCAUAUGCUAAGUAUUUAUUGAUCGUUUUAGACUGUGCAGAAUGCUGGAUAAUGAAAAUGUGCCUUACUGUGUGAACUGUUUACAGUAAAACCGUAGUUUGCUAUUAAUGACGUUCAAUAGACAAGUGUAUAGUUAAUGAACAUGGGAGUCAUUUCUGUUGCCCCUGUUUUAAUUGUGCCUUCAGUGUUUCAUUGUCUCUGUGAAUAAAUUAAAUGUAUUCCGUUCCAUGAUGAAUGAACGAAAUCUAUUAAAACCUGUCUUUCAGUUUUACUUGAAAUUUCAGUUGAACAAGAAGGCAUUCUUUGAUUUUUUUUUAUUUCUUUAAUUUUUUUGCAUAAUGCUCAGCAUUUCAAUCUCUAAUUUUACUGUGCUAAAUAUAGCAGAAAUUAGAGCUAUAACAGUUUCAGUGGCUCUAUUGUUUAACAGUAUAUGUUUUCUUUACUCAAUGUUAGAUAAAUAAGAUUCAAUAAACAUGUGAACUAUAAAACUGAUAUUUAUGAGUUGGAUUGUUAUUCCCAAAGCUAGUAGGUUAAAUAUUUUUGGUAAAUAAUAUGCCAUAGUUGUAGAUCGGCACCCUGGACAUCCACAAUGCAUAGCACACAAGGUACUUUACACCAAAUUUCUAAUUCAAACAGUAGUCUUCUGCUUAAAACACCUGCAUCAUUAAAAUCAUGAUUCAAUCAACAAUUAAAUAAUUAAUGGCAGUACCAUGGCAAUGAUGAUCUUUAAAUGUGUACUAGGUAAUGAGUCCUUCAUGUGGGACCACAGCAGGUCUUGCUUUUAAAUCCACAUAUUAUGUAUAUGAAUUAACUACCACUGAAGUACAUCAGUAAAAAUAAAUACAAAAAAUACAAAUAUAUCAGCUGUAAAGUAAUACAUUUAAUGAUUUGUUUUAUUGUGCUCAAACGAAACCGAAUAACAAUUUCAAUUAAAAAAAAUCACGAAAACAGGUAGUAUAUUUAAGCAGCCACAUUAUCUCAGUAGUUUUAAUGCACUUCUCAGCAUAUUAUGAAUACAUUUUGCAGCCUUUUGAGAAAAAUAUAAUGAUAUGUCAUCAUCGUAAAACAAGAAAAUAUCACACUGACGCAAAUCUAAGCAAAUAGUAUACUCUCUUACAGUUAUGGUUUUAUAAAACAUUGAAAUUAUAUGCCUAUU